rnacentral:rRNA from 1 species
CUACGGGGGGCUCCAGUAGGGAAUCUUAGACAAUGGGGGAAACCCUGAUCUAGCCAUGCCGCGUGAGUGAUGAAGGCCUUAGGGUUGUAAAGCUCUUUCGCUGGGGAAGAUAAUGACGGUACCCAGUAAAGAAACCCCGGCUAACUCCGUGCCAGCAGCCGCGGUAAUACGGAGGGGGUUAGCGUUGUUCGGAAUUACUGGGCGUAAAGCGCGCGUAGGCGGGCUAUUAAGUCAGGGGUGAAAUCCCGGGGCUCAACCCCGGAACUGCCUUUGAUACUGGUAGUCUUGAGUUCGAGAGAGGUGAGUGGAAUUCCGGGUGUAGAGGUGAUAUUCGUAGAUAUUCGGAGGAACAUCAGUGGCGAAGGCGACUCACUGGCUCGAUACUGACGCUGAGGUGCGAAAGUGUGGGGAGCAAACAGGAUUAGAUACCCGUGUAGUC